rnacentral:misc_RNA from 1 species
UUUCAUCUCUCAAUAUGCACGUAUCGCGUCUGGGAUUCUUUGUUAUCAGUUUUGUGGUUAUCUUGGCACGGAUGGCUGGACAAGACACACAGCCUAUCGAGCUCCAAAAUUUUACUAGUCCAGUACUUUUCAUUGCAUUGGGUAGCCAAGCCACAACUAGGAAAUGGGAGGGACGUUUACCAAGUGCUCCUCGAAGAACAACUCCGAGAUCUGAUAUCGAACCGAUGAAUAAAACAAUAAAAGUGCAAAGUGCUGAAAGCUAAAGUGCUAAGCUAAUAAAUUGAAGUCUACAGUACAGUUUUUAUAAUACUUGGCCGUGCAAUUACGCAGAAUGCCGUUUGCCUUUUAAGUUGCAUAUUGUUCGGCGAUCUGAGGAGGAGUGCGAGCAGUGCGUACUGAAGCAGAGCGGAUUGGACUGAACUGGACUGGAGUGGAGUGGAGUGGAGUGGCGUAGAGCUGAGAAGCGGAAAGGCGGAAAAGCGCGGAAAAGCGGAAAAACGACGAACGUUAAGCAGGCGAGGUGAGGUGGAGAAGAAGUGCCACUGACAGUGGCAGUAAGUUACGGGCCAAGUUUCGCCGGAGUCGCCUUGUCGCUGGCGCAACUGGCAUAACUCAGAGCUGAUGAAAUAUGGAGCUGCUGCAGGCCCUUUGCUGUACGCUGCUCCUGCUUUUGGCCCGGAUGCAAGUUCUGCUUGCUGUCAGCUGGGAGGAUUGGUGGACAUACGAUGGCAUCUCAGGACCUGCCUUUUGGGGCCUCAUCAAUCCGGAGUGGUCGCUCUGCAACAAGGGUCGUCGCCAGUCGCCGGUCAAUCUGGAGCCCCAACGCCUGCUAUUUGAUCCCAACUUGAGGCCCAUGCACAUAGACAAGCACAGGAUAUCCGGACUGAUCACUAAUACGGGACACAGCGUCAUCUUCACGGCCGGCAAUGAUACGGUGGCCAACUACGACGGUAUGCAGACGCCGGUGAAUAUCUCGGGCGGACCGCUGUCGUACCGCUACCGCUUCCACGAGAUCCACAUGCACUACGGAUUGAACGACCAAUUCGGAUCGGAGCACAGUGUCGAGGGCUACACGUUCCCGGCGGAGAUACAAAUAUUCGGCUACAAUUCCCAGCUGUAUGCAAAUUUCUCAGAUGCCCUCAAUCGCGCCCAGGGCAUCGUGGGCGUCUCCAUUCUGCUGCAACUUGGAGAUCUCUCGAAUGCGGAGCUGCGCAUGCUCACCGAUCAGCUGGAGCGCAUUCGCUAUGGCGGCGAUGAGGCGUUUGUAAAGCGUCUCUCCAUCCGCGGACUGCUCCCGGACACGGAUCACUAUAUGACCUACGAUGGAUCCACAACGGCACCUGCCUGCCACGAAACAGUCACCUGGGUGGUGCUCAACAAGCCCAUCUACAUCACAAAGCAACAGUUGCACGCCCUGCGACGCCUGAUGCAGGGCAGCCCAGACCACCCGAAAGCGCCCCUGGGCAACAAUUACCGGCCACCCCAGCCGCUCCUGCACCGGCCCAUUCGCACCAAUAUUGAUUUCAAGACGACGAAGUCGAACGGCAAGGCCGCCUGCCCCACCAUGUACCGCGAGGUCUACUAUAAAGCGACCAGUUGGAAACAGAACUAGAAGUCAGCGACGUGAUGGCGUAACGUAACGUAUCGUAAGCGUAAGCGUAUGACGCGAUGCCGAGGGAAAAGGACACGGACCGGAAGGAUUCAGAUGGAAGAGGGAAGGGACAAGGAGUGGGGUAGAGGAUCACAAAGGAAUCAGUGCAGCAGCGGCCAAAAAAAAUGGCGAUUGGAAAUACACACAUCUAUAAAUAUAAAUAGGCAAAGGAAUAAUAUGGAUAGCGAUUACGAUUACGAUAAUUAGCAUUAAAUGUGCAUUUUUUUUGUCUCCCCCGAAACGAAAAUCAAUCAGACCUUGAUUGCAGUCAGAGGUUACUUUUUUUUGUGUGUGCAUAGCGUAAGUACAAUAACGAU